UCUGCCCACUUCGGCCUCCCAAAGUGCUGGGAUUACAGGCGUGAGCCACCGUGCCCAGCCCAUACCUUUUUAAUAAUGGUUUAAUGCCAAGAAAAAGCAAAGGAGGGGGCACUGUUUCUAAGAAGAGUGAUGAUACCACCGUAUUUUUGAAAAAUGAUGAAACAGCGUGGGGGAAACUGCUAUGUCUUCCAUAUUCAGGCUUUUUCUUCUCCAAGCCCAUUUCCUCCCUAGCAAUGAUAAGAGGAAACACUCCCGGUGAGUCAGAUGCUCUCUAAAUAUUUUUGCUCAUUGAAUGUUGACACCAGCCCUGUGUUUAGUAUCAUACUGGGAACACGCAUGAGGAGCUGAAGCACAGACAGGUUAAGUGGCUCGCCCAGGGUCAUACAGCUACUCAGUGCUGGAGCCGAGAUCACACCAGGCUCUGCUUCCCCACCAGAACCAUGAGAGGUUGGGAGUGACCCUACUGGACAGGGAUAUCUGAGGUGGGAGGGGCUGUGUGUGUGUUCAUGCUGAGGCCGGCAUGCUUAGAACAUCAACCUCAAUUUUCCUCCCCACAGGGUCUGGCGGGGAGGCAGGGAGCAAGGUCGUUAAGGGUGGGCAGGGUGAGGGGGAGAUUCCCUGACAGCCUGGGUUCUGCCCCUCACUUGCUACAGCCCCAUGCAAGCCUCUUGGCCUCUCUGAGGCUCUGUAUUCUCACCUGUCAAAUGGGGGUUGUCCUGGGUGUUACUUCAAAGGCUGAUGAGAAAGGAGUGAGUGGGCUGGCUCGCAGCCUGGCGUGACAAGCAAUGCAUAAAUGUAUGCCGUAUGAGUCACCUGUCCACAGUGGCCCCAGCAGCUCUCUCUAGCAGGGCUUGGCCAAGACUAGGCCCUCAGAGUGUAAGAAAACUCCUGGUUUGGUGCCUAGCACACUAUAGAUGUGGCAAACUGUGUCCAAGAACGUUUUGAUGGGAGCCUGCCUGGAUGACAGAAGAUCAGAGUGUGCUGGAAUGUCCCACCCUUUCCAGCUUCCCGCAGCCAAGCCAGGCUCUGGGGUGAUCAUUCCCAUAGCAACCACCAGGGGUCAGGGCUGGCCACUUCUGCCUUCUUCCCUCAUCCUAGCGCCUGUGGGUGGCGAUGACAUCCCUGCCAUCUAUGAGGUGGAGCAUUUCCAACAAGAGCAGGUCUGAGGCCCUGGCUUGACUUUCCCAGUCCUGUUAAAGAAGAACAUUGGGAUACCCAACUGUUCUAGCACCAUUUAUUGAAAAGUCAACUCUUCCUUCAAUAUUCAGAAAUGUCACCUCUGUCAUAAACCAGGCAGCCACAUGUGUAUUAGACUGCUGUGUCUUCGUUAUUUCUCCAGAGGUUUGCCAAUUUUACUAAUCUCUUCAAAGAUCCAAUUUUGAUUUUUGUUCAUUUUCUUAAUUGUAUGCUUACUAUUUUAUUAGCUUGUGCUUUGGUCUUCCGUAUACUUUUUUUGGGGGGGGGUUGAAUUUACUAUUCUUUUUCUAAGCUCUUUGAAAUGGAUGAUUAGCUCAUUAAUUUUAAGUCUUUACUCUUUUCUAUUAUAUGCUAUAUAUUUUCCUGUAAGUAUUAACUUUAGAAAAAUUUCCUACCAGCUUUGAUAUAUAUGAUAUUUUCAUUAUUAUUCACUUCAAAAUGUUUUUAGUUUUUAAUUGUAACUUCUCUGUGAUAUAAAGAAGUAUGACUUUAAAUUUUCCACAUUAUGGGGAUUUCCUAGUUUUUUUUUUAUUGAUUUUAGCUUAAUUAUAUUGUGGUCAGAUCAACAUUACAUGAAUUAGAAAUUUAUCAAGAUUUGUUUUAGGCUCAGAAUAUGAGCCAAAUUUGUAAAUGUUCUGCUUGAAACAUGUAUCUUACAACAAUUGUGUGCAGUAUUCUACAUAUGCUCAUUAAGUCUAGUUUAUUAACAGAGUUCUUCAAAUCUUUUAUACCCUUUUGUCUCGUUUUUAAAAUUAAACUGAAAACGGUGUCUUAAAAUCUUCUAUUAUGGCUGUUGAUUCUUCCAUAGUCCUAUUAAGUUUUGCUUAUAUAUUUUGAGAUUAUGUUGUAGGCACAAAUUUAAUAUUGUUAUGUCUUCCUAGGAACUUUUGCUAUCUUUUCCUCUGGUUUUUGCCUUAAAGUUUAUUUUGUCUUUCAUGAAUAUAAAUACUUACAUCUGCCUUUGUGUGUGUGUGUGUGUGUGUGUGUGUGUUUGUUAGAUUCAGGGAGUACAUGUACUUGUUUGCUACAUGGGUAUUACACGUGUAAUGGUGCAAUUGGGCCUCUGGUAUACCCAUCAUUCAAAUAUUGGACACUGUACCCCAUAGGUGAUUUUUCAACUUUCUCUUCACUAGUAUUUUUACCUUAUUACUUUAAACUUUAUUCUUAUGCUUUAAAUGUAUCUCUUCUUUUGUAAACACCAUAAUUCCCCUCCCCCCAUUCCAAAUCAAGUCUGAAAUUCUUUGCCUUUUAACAGGAGCAUUUAGUUCAUUUACAUUUAAUGUAUAUGUAAAUGUAAAUACAGUGUAUACUUUGUAAAUGUUUAGAAUUAAAUCUAUUACUUUAGCUUAUCUGCUUAUUCAUUCUAUUCUUUUUCUCUUCUGUCUGGACUUAAAAAAUGAUCUGCAUAUAUUUUAUCAUUUAAUUUUGUCCCUUAGCUUGUUUGAAAUGACAUACUGUUUCUAUUCCUUUAGUGCAGGGAUUAGAGACCUUUUCUCUGUAAAGGGCCAGAUAAUAUAUAUUUUAUGGUUUGUGGACCACAGUCAGUGGGUUUUUUUAGGGUCUGUGGGCCGAAGUCAGAUUUUUUAUAGCCAUUUAAAAAUCUAGAAACCAUCCUUAGCUUGCAGGCUAUAUAAAAACAGGCUGAAAUCUGUAUUUAGCCCAUGGGCCAUAGUGUGUAACCUCUUCUAGUGUUCACUCUAGAAAUUAUAACAUGCACACUUAACUUAUCAAAGCCUACAAUUAAUGAAAACCUUUACCCCUCUGGACAACACAUUGAUAUUAGAACAUUUUGAGUCUAUUGCCUUCCUAACCCCAAUUCCUAUGUUAUGUUGUCUGGUAUUUACAUUU
rnacentral:lncRNA from 1 species